CCUGCCCACAAUGUUAGAUGUUUCUCUCAAUCUCAAAUAGCUGAUAUACAAGGAUUAUUCACCCAAAACACAAAUAUAUUCAAGCAACCAUGUUCAAAGAGAGCCAUUUGAAUAUUGAAGUGAUAAUCGCUGUCCUCCUGUUCUCGGCUGUCUAUUCUCAAAAGAAACCAGAUUUUGGAACACUCUCAGCAUGUGUCAAUAAAAACCAAAGCCUAACGCUUGAUUGUUUUUACCCAUCUUGUGACUCCACACCCUUUAUCUGCAACGUUUAUGAUGUUGAGGGAAAGUCAAAAACACUAAUUGGCAGCUCAGACUUGGCAAUGGUAAACAGCAAUGUUUCAUACUUAAAUGCUUCAUCUGGAGUGUGUCGACUCAUUAUCAAAGAUCAUGCCACGAUUUACCAUAACAAGACCAAGAUUUAUGAAUGCCAUCUGUCACGAAGAAAAAGUAAAGAAGAGAGGGCACUCACUGUGCAAUACAAAAAAAGAAAAGAGCGACCAAAGGCUUGUCCCUCAGGUGGAUCAUUCCUACGAGUCACAAGAUUGCUGUGGUCAAUAGCAUUUAUUUUCUUCCAAGAAACUUACUUGUAAAACCACACUUUUCAUGCUCUUUCUAUGACCAACAGUGUAUGCAUGCUAUGAACAUUUAUAUUAAAUUAUCACUACAUCUCAAGUUAUGUAUCAUGUUAUGUUUAUUACAGUAUACAUUACAUAUAUACACUCACACACACACACACACACACAUAUAUAUAUAUAUAUAUAUAUAUAAAGUGGCAUCUUGAAAGGACGUGUUCUAGAGGGCAGAUACAUUGCUCUAAGAUGGCUGGAGCAAGGGGGCAGCUUAAGAACUACCUUUCCCAGCUCACCACACAUGGAAGCUGGGGGACAAGAUGGCCGUCAAUUAAGGACUACAAAACCCAGGUUGCCAGAGAGAGCAGCUGCAGCUAAUAAGACCAGCAGCAAGGUCUAAUAGAUGUUGUGGGAGAAUGGUGAAGUGUGUGUGGCUGGGAAAAGACAUGUAUCUGUGAAACAAAGAAGACUAAGUAUUUGUGUUGUUAGCUGAAAAGAUUUAAGUUGAAAACCUUCUGUUUGAUUAUUAAACCCACACCUGCAUACCAAAAAGACUGUUGAAGCUGCGUUUACUGUGAAACUAGAGAUCCUGAACCUCUCAUGCUGUCACAAUAUAUAUAUAAAAAUCAAAUGUAAAUUCAUGUCCAGUUAUCCUGUUUUUCUGGUUA